AAAGCAGGUCUGCAAUUACAGCACAUCAUUGCAGUGGAGUGCUGUCAUUAACCCUGCUGAGAGUAUCUCUCUGCUACACAGCUCUCACUCCUGUUCACUGUGUUGGUGAAUGGGAAGCUCUGUAGCACUACA
rnacentral:snoRNA from 1 species